UACGUAGGGGGCGAGCGUUACCCGGAUUCACUGGGCGUAAAGGGGGCGUAGGUGGCCGUGUAAGUCCGGUGUGAAAAGCCACGGCUCAACCGUGGACCUGCGCUGGAAACUACACGGCUUGAGGACGGUAGAGGGAGACGGAACUGCUGGUGUAGGGGUGAAAUCCGUAGAUAUCAGCAGGAACGCCGGUGGAGAAGUCGGUCUCCUGGGCCGUUCCUGACGCUGAGGCCCGAAAGCUAGGGGAGCAAACCGG
rnacentral:rRNA from 1 species